UGAAUAUAAUUAAAAGCUGACAAUAAGUAUUAUAUGGUUUACACAUGCAUACAGUUUUAGAUUAAAAACUCAACAAAACUAUUCUAUAUGGUAUGUUUCCUACAAAAACCCGAGAAAACAUUUUUCGCGCAACAUUUCGUCUGCUGAACCGUAGUAAGAAAAGAUGUUCAAGAUCAACGUGCGUUCCAAAACGUCGAAGAAAAAAACCCAAAUCAGCGUGGUCAAACAAGGGUAUAGUCAUUGAAAAUGUUACUAUUAUUAAUGAAUCAAGGAAAAUCAACUAGCGACAUUCCUGUUGGAUUAAGAUAACUCUUCCGCUAGAGAGAGAUUUCUCAAGUGGUGACCUUAAACAUCGAGGUAGUUCUAGUGUUGGUACUUACUGUGGUUCUUGACCUUGCUGUGGUGUGGGCGGCAGAGGAGCGCCAUCGUUCUACUUCCUCACUAUGGACGAGCUCUCCCAUUACCUUCAAGUAUGUAACGGAUCAUUGGGUACUUACAUCAGCCCAACACCACUACAUACAGAAUACUACGCCCGAACAGCAGAGCUACCAGAAACAUCAAUAAGACACAUACUUUCUGAUAAUAAUAUAUUGUUCCUGCAAUGUUUACUUUCUAGCAAACUUGAUUUUUUUCCAAAGGUAUGUUGCAUUAUAGUUUGGAAUUAAUUAUGUUUUUUCCUUUAAGUUAGAAUGCUCCUUCUGCUAGAGAGAGAAUUCUGUACUGGUGAACUUGAACAUCAAGGUGGUUCUAGAGUUGGUACUUACUUCGAGUCUUGACCUCGAAGUGGUGUGGGAGGCAGACGUGCACCAUCGUUCUACUUCUUCACACCUGGAUAUCGUCAUUUCCAAAGCAACCAACAACAGUCCGAAAGCUUUUGGGGAACACUAAACCAAACCGGAAGUGCUCAUGAUAUAAAAUCCAGCAAAGACCAGAACCAGGCAUCGUUCUUAACAUCUUGGGAGUUAGAUGGAAAUCAGCAACCCCGACGGCGAGACAAACGAAAUAAACAAUGACACUUUGGUGGCAGGCUCAUUUUCUGUCUACCAAACAGACGGCACAGAUGGACAACACUGAAUUCUCUGAUUCGGCUUAAUAGUCAACAGUGAUAUUGAAGUAUGUUCUGUUGUAUGAUCAAUUGCCUGAGAUUGUCAUUACGUACAGGACACAUCACAAGGCACAGACAUCUCGACCAUCUGAGCAGUUCUAAUACUUGCUGGAAUGAAUGAUCGAUCGCCUGUCACUACGCACAAGACAUAUCACAUG